UUAUCGUGUAUUAUACAUUACGACAUAAAUCGAUAAGAAAUUUAUGUUGAAUUAUUACUGCUUAAGGACCACCUUGAGUCUGCCAUUUGCCUUCAUCGCACUCACGAUGAAGCAAAGACACUCAAUUAGCCUAGCGAAAGUUGAGAACUGUCAAAACGUCAAUGUUUGUUUACUACUCCGCGCGACGUACGACGGUGCCUGCAGGCGAAGUGCCACGGGUUUACGUUUUCCGCUAGUUUUCCAGCAGAUUUCGCGAGUUUCCCGACUGUUUACGCGAGUAAGUGUCCCCGAGAACAAGUUCUCUCCGCGCGCAUGAAUCAGUGACCGGUUAAGCAUGUAUCAGUCGCACUGUCAUUCUAGUGUUUAAAUGGGUCAGCUGAUGGAGAGAAAAUGCUAUCGGAGUUUAUUUCGCUUUUAGCCAGUUCCCGGGGGAUCAAUCCGAGGUGCAAUCUGAAUGCUGUCGUCCGGACGACUUUAUGAAUGGAUUCUGGCUUGAGAUCGCAAACGGAGAACACGCCGAUGUUCUUUCCCAUUUCGUCUGCCAGUUCGUAAGAGCUCGUUCCUACUCGAGCUAGGAUGGUGCAGGGAACAUACAGGGCGUCAAGUUUGGCGUUGUAUGAGUCCGCAGCCGACGAUUGCCGAAAAUUCCGCCGAAAAACCCUUUGGCCAACCGCAUAAACUGGUGCAGCUUGUUUUGCAGACCUCAGGUUAUAGUUUUUAAUAUUUUUCUCGUGACUUUUUUUUAAAUGUUUCAUAACUGUCGAAUAAACAUGUU